GGAAAAGUGUGAAAAUUCAAGGAAACAAGUGAAAAAAGGUGGUGAAUCCUCCGAUAAAGGAAAAGAAAUUGUACCCGAGGAUCGAUAGUCUACGUACUCUAAAAAUUCGACUCCCGAAAUAGGGAAAUGAGAAACUGAUAUUAAAGCCUUGCGGGGUUUCGGUUAGCAUUCCGAGUAAUGAGUCUCUAUCGGGACACUGCGGUGGUUGUCAUGGGCUCAAAGGGAGUACCGGGUCGUGAUAACGAUAACUAGUUAUCUUGAAUUUUUAUCUUUUGGUGCAAAGGGUAUUUGUUUAGAUUCAUGCUAAAAUCUUUUGUUAAAUAUCAUUAUUAAGAUGUUAUUUCCACAAUUUUGAGCACUAUAUCUUUUCUUUUGAAUAAUGAUGAAUAUCUAGAGAAGGUUUAUAUUGA